GCUGGGAGCGGUGGGUGCCGGGAGGAAGGAGACAGGAGCCGGGAGAACAAAGCCUGGAGAGCAUCAGACACGGGUCUGUGCUGGGGGGGGGGAGAAGCCCGGCAUUAACACCUCCCUGCCUGGGCCGGGGGGGGGGGGACCCACCCCCUGCGCUCUGCCCGCAUCCACUCCGGAGCCAGGGCAUGACCCAUGUCUCACUUCUCCCUCCAUCCCAGCAGCUGAGACGGGAGGAUGAGUAAGAAUGAGGAGGAGACGUCUCAGCGGCGGAAAGCAGAGCCGGAAGAACCACACGGGAGAUUAGCAGGAAGAUAUAAAGGGAAGGUUUCCCAGAAUCAUGAGCAGGGGAAAGCCUACGAGAGGCAGUCAGGGAAGAAAGAAGACGGAAGCCCCGUGUUCCCAUUGAUUUAUUCCUGAUGCUGCCUGCAGAGAAACAGCUGGGUCUGUGCUGGGGAGAGACCUUCAUUAAAACUCCUUCUGAGCCCAGCCAAGGUGGGGAAGUUCUCCAGCUAGGACUAGCCCCAGACGCUGCUGACAGGAUCUCCUGAUCAGAGCGUCCAGGUGGUUGAGAGAGAGCUCAGGGAAAGCACUGGGGCCGGGCAGGAAAUUGACUGCACGGUGAGCGCUUCCUCCUCCCCCAUCUCUGCUCCUCGUGUCUCUGGGAGCCACAGAGCUGCUGCCCUCGUAACGAUUCAGGCCAAAAGGGAUGUUUCUGUCAAUGAGGCUGACCGGCUUCACCCGGGCCCUUAAAUGUCUCCCACUCACCUUGUAUUGAGUUGUGGAUAAAGCUUACCUUCCUGACUGGCGGAGCGGGUCCUGUGAGGGGAAGAGAAAACCCCCAAGAAUGGGGUGGUGGCCCAGUCUCCCAUCUCGAGGGCGGAGGAGAUAGGGGAGAGAGAGAGCGACUGAAGAGGGCGUCAGGAGAAAGAAGUGGUGGGAGAUUCCCGAAUCUCUAACCCACCCAGACACGCCCACUGUAGACGGGGUGAGGAGCAGAGAGAGGAAAAAACGCUUCCUGGCUCUGUCUAGUUCUGGCCCUGCUGGCGGGACAGCGUCGGGGGCUCCUUUGCGGCUGCUCUUUCUCUAGUGUUUGAUGCAGACGCCGUUCCUGGGAGGGUUUAAAAAGUCUCUGUGGGUUCGGCGCUUUUGGGAGGGGGCUGGGCCUGCUGGGUUACAAAGAGACGGAGCGUUUUCCCAGCGUGGCAGAGUUGACGAUGUCCGUCUGCGGGGAAAGGGCUUGGGGGAAUCAGGGGUGAAAUUAACUAUCGCCUCAAUUGCCCCGCUCACCUGGACAGGCUGUCACUCCAGAUUGUCCCAUCGUUCACGGGGACCGGGAAGGGAAAAGGCUGCAGAGGAGAUGAUUCAGGUAGCGACUUCCCAGUGGCUCCGACUGGAGGGAGAGGGGCAGUAGAUGCACAAGAGGUGGGCGCUGUUGAGGGAUUUGGUCUUCAGGCGGGAAGGGGCAGGAAAUACCCAGGGCGGAGAAAGGGAAGGGGACAGGGUGUGACUAACCUACUGGGACUUGUUCAGCCUGGAACUAGAUUCUAUGAACAGACCCAUGACGUUGAGGUGAAAAUUCCCCAAUUUUUGAAACUGGAAACAACCCGCCCCGGAUUGGGCUGGGUCAACUUCCCAGUGUGGGGGUGGGACUCUGACUGGGAGCCUCCCAGCGCUUUCAUUUGAUUGGCUCCUUUCCCGUGAAUAGUGGGGCUGUGAGUGGGGCAGCAGGUGCUGAGUGUGGGACUCUUGCUC